rnacentral:rRNA from 1 species
UGAACGCUAGCUACAGGGCUUAACACAUGCAAGUCGAGGGGCAGCAGGUAUCUAGCUUGCUAGAUAUGCUGGCGACCGGCGCACGGGUGCGUAACACGUAUCCAAUCUACCCAUGGCUCGGGGAAUAGCCUUUUCGAAAGAAAGAUUAAUGCCCGAUGGCCUUACUUGGAGACAUCUCCUGGUAAGUAAAGAUUUAUCGGCGAUGGAUGAGGAUGCGUCCGAUUAGCUUGUUGGCGGGGCAACGGCCCACCAAGGCGACGAUCGGUAGGGGUUCUGAGAGGAAGGUCCCCCACACUGGAACUGAGACACGGUCCAGACUCCUACGGGAGGCAGCAGUGAGGAAUAUUGGUCAAUGGUCGAGAGACUGAACCAGCCAAGUAGCGUGAGGGACGACGGCCCUACGGGUUGUAAACCUCUUUUGUUUGGGAAUAAAGUCACCCACGUGUGGGUGUUUGUAUGUACCAUACGAAUAAGCAUCGGCUAAUUCCGUGCC